AUGCCUUAAACUGAUGAGUAAGGAAAAUAACGACGCGGGGUGACGCCCGUGUCCUCGCUCAAACUCGCGAGAGAAUUAUUAGCCCUACAGUUACAGCAUGAAAUAUUAUUUAAACCUUACUA
rnacentral:snRNA from 1 species